rnacentral:tRNA from 1 species
UGGGUUGUGGCUCAGUGGUAGAGCACUCGCCUAGCAUGUGUGAGGCACGGGUUCGAUCCCUGGCACCACAU